rnacentral:rRNA from 1 species
GAUGAACGCUGGCGGCGUGCUUAACACAUGCAAGUCGAACGGUGAAGGAGAGCUUGCUCUCCGGAUCAGUGGCGAACGGGUGAGUAACACGUGAGCAAUCUGCCCCUGACUCUGGGAUAAGCGCUGGAAACGGCGUCUAAUACCGGAUACGAGCUGCGAAGGCAUCUUCAGCAGCUGGAAAGAACUUCGGUCAGGGAUGAGCUCGCGGCCUAUCAGCUAGUUGGUGAGGUAAUGGCUCACCAAGGCGUCGACGAGUAGCCGGCCUGAGAGGGUGACCGGCAACACUGGGACUGAGACACGGCCCAGACUCCUACGGGAGGCAGCAGUGGGGAAUAUUGCACAAUGGGCGCAAGCCUGAUGCAGCAACGCCGCGUGAGGGACGACGGCCUUCGGGUUGUAAACCUCUUUUAGCAGGGAAGAAGCGAAAGUGACGGUACCUGCAGAAAAAGCACCGGCUAACUACGUACCAGCCGCCGCGGUAA